GGUAUAGCUCAUUAAAAGGGAAGUCCGGUGCAAUUCCGGUGCGGUCCCGCCACUGUAAAUGGGAGUUUUCUAUUGCAUACCACUGUCACUUGAUGGGAAGGUCAUAGAAAAUGAAGAUCAUGAGCCAGGAGACCUGCCUGUUUUUUUA
rnacentral:ncRNA from 1 species